rnacentral:rRNA from 1 species
GUGUCAGCAGCCGCGGUAAGACAGAGGGUGCGAACGUUGCUCGGAAUUACUGGGCGUAAAGCGCGUGUAGGCGGGUCGGUAAGUCGGAUGUGAAAUCCCCGGGCUCAACCCGGGAACUGCACUCGAUACUACUGAUCUAGAGUGCCGGAGAGGGUGGCGGAAUUCCUGGUGUAGAGGUGAAAUUCGUAGAUAUCAGGAGGAACACCGGUGGCGAAGGCGGCCACCUGGACGGCUACUGACGCUGAGACGCGAAAGCGUGGGGAGCAAACAGGAUUAGAUACCCCUGUAGUCC